rnacentral:rRNA from 1 species
GACGAACGCUGGCGGCGUGCUUAACACAUGCAAGUCGAACGGUGAAGGGACCGGUUUUUGCUGGUUCUGGAUGAGUGGCGAACGGGUGAGUAACACGUGAGUAACCUGCCCCCUUCUUCUGGAUAACCGCAUGAAAGUGUGGCUAAUACGGGAUAUUCUGCGCCUGCUGCAUGGUGGGUGUGGGAAAGUUAUUGUUUCGGUGGGGGAUGGGCUCGCGGCCUAUCAGCUUGUUGGUGGGGUGAUGGCCUACCAAGGCGGUGACGGGUAGGCGGCCUGGGAGGGUGGGCGGCCAUACGGGGGCUGCGACACGGCGCAGACUCCGACGGGAGGCAGCGGUGGAGAAUAUAGCACAAUGGGCGCAAGGCUGAAGCAGCGACGCCGCGGGGGGGAUGGAGUCCUGCGGGUUGUAAGCCUCUUUCGGCGGUGAAGCAGGCCUGUCCCUUUUGUGGGUGGGUUGACGGUAGCUGGAUAAGAAGCGCCGGCUAACUACGUG